AUUGAACGCUGGCGGCAGGCCUAACACAUGCAAGUCGAGCGGAUGAAGGGAGCUUGUUCCUGGAUUCCGCUGCGGACGGGUGAGUAAUGCCUAGGAAUCUGACUGGCCGUGGGGGAUAACGUCCGGACACGGGCGCUAAUCCCGCAUACGUUAUGAGGGAGAACGUGGGGGAUCUUCGGACCUCACGCUACCUGAUGAGCCUAGGUCGGAUUAGCUAGUGGGUGGGGUAAAGUCCUACCAGGGCGACGAUCCGUAACUGGUCUGCGAGGAUGAUCAGUCACAUGGAAACUGGGACACGGUCCGGAUCCUUAGGGGAGGCAGCAGUGGGGAACUUUGGACAAGGGGGAAAAGCCGGAUCCAGCCAUGCGGCGUGGGUGAAGAAGGUCUUCGGACUGUAAAGCACUUUAUGGUGGGAGAAAGAGCAGGAAGUUAACACCUCGCUGUUUGGAGGUAACCAACAGAAUAAGCACCGGCUAACUUCGG
rnacentral:rRNA from 1 species